rnacentral:rRNA from 1 species
UACGUAGGGGGCAAGCGUUGUCCGGAAUCAUUGGGCGUAAAGAGCGUGUAGGCGGCCCGAUAAGUCCGCUGUGAAAGUCCAGGGCUCAACCCUGGAAUGCCGGUGGAUACUGUCGGGCUCGAGUUCGGAAGAGGUGAGUGGAAUUCCUGGUGUAGCGGUGAAAUGCGCAGAUAUCAGGAGGAACACCGGUGGCGAAGGCGGGUCUCUGGGCCGAUAUUGACGCUGAGGAGCGAAAGCGUGGGGAGCAAACAGG